rnacentral:lncRNA from 1 species
GUGGAAGUUUAAUCAGAGGAUUUUUUAUAGCUUUUUUGCUAUCGGAGGUUGGGGCUGCUUGUCAUGAAAAUGAUUCCUGGUUUAAAUGCCAUAUUGGGUACUACCAGCAUGCGGUAUACUAAGGGUUGUUCGAAGAUCUCAUUUACGGGAAUUCAAGCCUGCCAUGAAGGAGAAUCGAUCGACUAUCACCAGCUGUCAUGACCCGACUAGGUCGAAGGUAGCCCAAAGACUAAAUCGUUAGAGAUGCCUUACCAAGGUAAGGUCUAUUCGGUAUGGGUACGGGCUUCUAUUAUACAUUCCUCUUUCGACCUUUUUUCUUUCUGCCAAAGAAAAGACAAGAGGGCUAAACAAAUCUUUCAACGUCUCAGCCCAAUAGUCUAUAGUUUGUAGCUACCAAUUGGUACGUUUUGUCUUAGCUCCCUGCUUCGCCCUAAAACGCCUUCAUUUCAAUAGGAAAAACCUAUAGGUAUGAAGGUUUCAAAAAAAUCAAUAUAAUAUAUAAAGUUAUCCAUUCUAAUCUACUGUAAAAGUCCACUGGCUACUCCCUUACCGCUCAUAUGGCUUUCCACCCAUCUCUCCUCUUUUUUACUUAUAUUUUAUAAUAUAAGCAUCAUAAAUAUCUAUGUUGGAACUGGAUUCUCUAAAGCUUCAAUAGAAGUAUCCCGAGGGGGAGGUCGCAAGAGCCUUUAUCUAAUCGACUAUUGAACCAUCUCACCUAAAAGUAACUCGCUACCUUAACUAAAGGCAUGCCUUUAGUCCAACAGCUAACUCAAUAGGACUUGCUUUCCUAAAUAAAUUUCCCUUGGCCUUGAGAAUGCUUCAUCGCCUUGACUUGAUUCGGAUAAGUCUAAGUAAAAGUAAGGACUUUGCUUUUUCGGGGAAGAAUAGAGGGUCAGGGCAAUAGGUCAAGGUCGAUUGCCAAUCGAGUAAGCAAGCCUUAAGGCAAAGAAAGAUAUUCUAGCAGCUUAUCCCUUUCAUAACCUGAGGUAGUUAUGGCAUUUAAGUCAGGUUGUCUUGCUCUGAGUCUAAAAGCCCCUCCUUCUUGAAAUAGGAAUGCCCCUCUAGUUCUUCCAUUUAGUAAGUGGUUUAUUUUAAGGUCAGGUUGUAACCCGGACCGAAGGUGCUGACUACCAGUUACCGGAAGAGCAAUUAACGAGCGAACAUC